UAGGGAAUCUUCGGCAAUGGACGGAAGUCUGACCGAGCAACGCCGCGUGAGUGAAGAAGGUUUUCGGAUCGUAAAGCUCUGUUGUAAGAGAAGAACGAGUGUGAGAGUGGAAAGUUCACACUGUGACGGUAUCUUACCAGAAAGGGACGGCUAACUACGUGCCAGCAGCCGCGGUAAUACGUAGGUCCCGAGCGUUGUCCGGAUUUAUUGGGCGUAAAGCGAGCGCAGGCGGUUAGAUAAGUCUGAAGUUAAAGGCUGUGGCUUAACCAUAGUACGCUUUGGAAACUGUUUAACUUGAGUGCAAGAGGGGAGAGUGGAAUUCCAUGUGUAGCGGUGAAAUGCGUAGAUAUAUGGAGGAACACCGGUGGCGAAAGCGGCUCUCUGGCUUGUAACUGACGCUGAGGCUCGAAAGCGUGGGGAGCAAACAGGAUUAGAUACCCUGGUAGUCCACGCCGUAAACGAUGAGUGCUAGGUGUUAGACCCUUUCCGGGGUUUAGUGCCGCAGCUAACGCAUUAAGCACUCCGCCUGGGGAGUACGACCGGGNAGGUUG
rnacentral:rRNA from 1 species